GUCGCUUCUCAUGUUUAAUCUUUGCGAUCAGCUCCCAGGUGGGGAUUUAAUAUUGGAAGCCCUUGCAAAUAUGUCGGACAUGAAGGACAGUGACCAGACAAACAAAUCCAGUCUCGAAAAGGGAAUGUAUUCGAUCUCAGCACUCGACUUAGUUUCUCACUUGGGAUUUGGGAUGGGAACAGCUUCAAGCGAUUCCAAUGAAAAUGAGCUUCUUGUGGGUGAGAUUGCUGUUGGAAAGAUGACUCCUCUGGAAAGGGCUGUUAAGGAAUCAAGAAACAAUUAUGAAAAAGUGGUGAUGGCUCAAGAGACAGUUGAUGGAGCAAAA
rnacentral:misc_RNA from 1 species